CUGAUGAUAGUAUUAAAGGGCCGCGGUAAUUUGACCGUGCGAAGGUAGCAUAAUCAUUUGUCUCUUAAUUGGAGGCUGGAAUGAAUGGUUGGAUGAAGGACAAAGUGUCUUUUGAUUAUAGUUAAAAUUUUACUUUUAAGUGAAAAGGCUUAAAUAUAGUUAAGUGAAGAUAAGACCCUAUAAAACUUAUAUACAUAUUUUAAUACCGGUCUCUUAAUUUAAUUUAAAGAGUAGUUUUAUCUAUGUAUUUUGUUGGGGCGACAGGAAUAGAAUUAAUUAUCUGUUUUUAAAAUAAGUUAAUAAUAAUUAUAUAAUGAGCCUUUAAUAUGGAUUAAAAGAACAAGUUACUUUAGGGAUAACAGCGUGAUUUUCUUUGAGAGAUCUGAUCGAUAAGAGUAGUUGCGACCUCGAUGUUGAAUUAAAAUUUCUAAUAGGUGUAGCAGCUUAGUUAGAUAGUCUGUUCGACUAUAAAAGUUUUACAUGAUCUGAGU
rnacentral:rRNA from 1 species